rnacentral:rRNA from 1 species
UACGGGGGGGGCAAGCGUUGUUCGGAAUUACUGGGCGUAAAGGGCUCGUAGGCGGCCAACUAAGUCAGACGUGAAAUCCCUCGGCUUAACCGGGGAACUGCGUCUGAUACUGGAUGGCUUGAGUUUGGGAGAGGGAUGCGGAAUUCCAGGUGUAGCGGUGAAAUGCGUAGAUAUCUGGAGGAACACCGGUGGCGAAGGCGGCAUCCUGGACCGGUAUUGACGCUGAGGCGCGAAAGCGUGGGGAGCAAACAGG